ensembl:snRNA U1 U1 spliceosomal RNA
AUACUUAUCUUUCAGGGGCGAUACGGUGAUCACAAAAGUGGUUUUCCCAGGGCAAGGCUUAUCCGUUGCAUUCCGGAUGUGCUGAUUUCUGCUGUUUCCCAAAUGUGGAAAACUCGGCUGCAUAAUUUGUGAUAGUAGCGGACUGCGUUCGUGCUUUCCCCUG